UACGGGGGGGGGCAAGCGUUUGUUCGGAAUUACUGGGCGUAAAGGGUUCGUAGGUGGCCAACUAAGUCAGAACGUGAAAUCCCUCAGCCUUAACUGGGGAACUGCGUCUGAUACUGGUUGGCUUGAGUGCAGGAGAGGAACGCGGAAUUCCAGGUGUAGCGGUGAAAUGCGUAGAGAUGUGGAGGAACACCAGUGGCGAAAGGCGCUCUUUGGUCUGUAACUGACGCUGA
rnacentral:rRNA from 1 species